ACAAAACUCUUUGUAGUGGUAUUAUAUGGUAUAGCAUUUAUAUUUGUUUUGAUUGGACAUACUGGAAUAAAUAAACAUGUUUAUUAGAAUGAGGCCUCCCAAUACUUUUGUCUAGCGUAUUUGCCACAGACAGGGUAACGCAAUCCUUAGAGUGUGCUUCUUUGUAAAUGUGACAAAUGAAAAUGACCUGAUCCAUCAUUUCCAGCUCCAGUGGGCAUCCUUUAUCCAUCCAGACCCUCAUACAGAUGGUUGGAGUUUUGAUUCACCUAAAGUACCAUGCAAGAGCACUCAUUUUCCCUCUUGAGACCAUGGUGUGACCUGCAAGGUCGAAUGGAGACUGUAAACGAGACAAUCUUGGAGUCACCUGCAUUCACUGGUCCAGUUGUUAG